GGCCCGCUAGCUCAAUUGGCAGAGCAAAUGACUCUUAAUCAUUGGGUUUAGGGUUCGAGUCCCUGGCGGGUCA
rnacentral:tRNA from 1 species